UUGAUUAUUGGUAACCGACUCAGAGAGGCCACUAGGUUUCAAGAUAGUUUGUAUGGGCCUGCGGCGGGCACCUCCCCUAAGGGAGGUUGCGGCCCCGCCCUGGGGCCGCCCGCCGAGGCAACGCUCACGGGUAUGUUCACAGUGGUUUGGGAGUCUUUCAACUCUGUAAUGAUCCCUCCGCUGGUUCACCAACGGAGA
rnacentral:misc_RNA from 1 species